GCCUUCGUGGUGUAGUGGUCAGCACGCUGGGCGCGUAUUCCAGAAGUCCGUGGUUCGAGUCCUGGCAAGAGCA
rnacentral:tRNA from 1 species